GCCCUGGUAGUGUAGCGGUCCAUCAUGGAACCCUGUCACGGUUCCGACCCGGGUUCAAAUCCCGGCCAGGGCG
rnacentral:tRNA from 1 species